AUGAGCACCGCAGUUUAAAUCAUCUAACAAUAGAUUCACGAAACAAGUGGAAAACUCGAGAAAUAAAUCUGCUUUUAAUGAAGACUGUGAGAAAGUUUAACUUUAUAAACCGCGUUAGGAGACGAGAUGAUGAGAGACUGAAUCUUUACCUCAGAGGAACAUUUAUUUCUUUGUUCUUUAAUGUAAAUUUCUCCUCGACCGUUCUCCAGACGUGGACAACUAUUCUGAAGAAGACAAUGACAGUUAUUCUUCAGAGCAGGAGGUCAGUGAUGAUGCCGUUCAGGGUCAGUGGAUAUGAACAGAAGUUCAGAUGCGUCUAUAGCGCUUCACUCUACAGCUGUUGAGCAGACGGCUGGGGGGAUGUCACAUGUGACGGAGAUGUGAACGCAGACAAAUCAGCAGCAAACAUCGACAAACUCUGCAAGGCCGAGUCUCAGACUCUCAUGUCGUGGAGACGCUGUGUGUUUCGUUAAAAAAAUUUGUGCGGCUCAUUUCCAGACGGCUGCUUCACGAACGCUUUGGUUAAAAGUGGGGCUAUUCCAACCAUUAAAACUUUACAAGGACAGUCUGGAGCUUCUGAUUUGCAGCCUGGUGGAGAUGUGUUAACAGUGGAUAUGAACAGAUAUUCAGAUGAAUCUACAGCGCUUCACUCUACAGCUGUUGAGCAGACGGCUGGGGGGGAUGUCACAUGUGACGGGGAUGUGAACGCAGACAAAUCAGCAGCAAACAUCGGCAAACUCUGCAAGGCCGAGUCUCAGACUCCUAGGCGGCCCCUCGGAAGAAGACGUGGAAGAGGAGACCAUGACCCCGUCAGCAGCUGCGGCAGAAGCGGCCACUGCCAGCCAUCGAACCACCUCCCGAGGGGGAGAAGAUGCAGAUCACACCCCUAGUCCCCGUCACUGUCCCUGGGGAUUGGCUCAAGCGGCAAAUGAUUUGAGUUUCGAGGCAUCCUCUCAACCUUAGUCAGAGGCAGGGAUGCUCCCGUACUGUGGGCCGAGGUCGUCAGCCUGGUUAAGAGUCCGACUCACUAACCAUUGUCACUUACGAUGGUUCGUGGACCCCGUGUCGAGACCGUUCUCCAGACGUGGACAACUAUUCUGAAGAAGACAAUGACAGUUAUUCUUCAGAGCAGGAGGUCAGUGAUGAUGCCGUUCAGGGUCAGUGGAUAUGAACAGAAGUUCAGAUGAGUUUAUAGCGCUUCACUCUACAGCUGUUGAGCAGACGGCUGGGGGGGAUGUCACAUGUGACGGGGAUGUGAACGCAGACAAAUCAGCAGCAAACAUCGGCAAACUCUGCAAGGCCGAGUCUCAGACUCUCAUGUCGUGGAGACGCUGUGUGUUUCGUUGAAUAAAGAAAGACCCUUUGUUUGCCCUGCCAUCAUGACAUAGCUGAAAACGAAUGGACCAAUUUUAUUUACAACACUGUUCCAGGAAAGUACAAAUCGAAUGUUAAAGCGUACGUAACAUGACAUCAUAAAAAUGACGUUUCAUGCAGUCUGUUAUAUUGCCGUGUUUGAAAGUAAGCUGUCUGCCAAGUUUUAAGUCGGAAGGUGAAUAAAUAACGAAGUUAUUUGCUUUUAAAUCUGAGAGUCGACUCUGAAUCACACAAACGAGUCGAGGAUGCAUAUCUACGUCACUAUACAUAAACGUGUUGCUGAGACUGCCGGGAAAACUUAUGUCUCCUCCCCCAAACACUGUCGCUCGUUUGUGAUGCAUGUGUAUCAUGUCUUGAGUCAGUGUUCUACGGUGUGACACGGUCGGUCUUAUUUCAACUACCAAAGGAAGAACGUCUGAGGGGAAAAUGGUAUCGUUGGAAAAAUGAUUUGUAACCAAAGGAGUAUAAACCCAGAGUUUAACUGUGCGUGUCAUUUCACAGAUGAUUGCUUUGAUAAUCUUGGCGUGUUCAGUGCAGGAUAUGUGAAACAACUAUCCUUGAAAGAGGGGGAAUACCAACUCUAUUUGGACCUUUUAGCUCCACCGAGUCCCAACCUGAGCAGACGGCUGGGGGGAUGUCACAUGUGACGGGGAUGUGAACGCAGACAAAUCAGCAGCAAACAUCGGCAAACUCUGCAAGGCCGAGUCUCAGACUCUCAUGUCGUGGAGACGCUGUGUCUUUCGUUGAAUAAAGAAAGACCCUUUUUUUGCCCUGCCAUUACAUAGCUGAAAACGAAUGGUCCAAUUUUAUUUACAACACUGUUCCAGAAAAGUACAAAUCGAAUGUUAAAGCGUACGUAACAUGACAUCAUAACACAACUGAAAAGGAAUGGACCAAUUUUAUUUACAAUACUGUUCCAGGAAAGUACAAACCGAAUGUUCAAGUUUGAGCAGCGCAUUUCCAGACGGCUGCUUCACGAACGCUUUGGUUAAAAGUGGGGCUAUUCCAACCAUUAAAACUUUACAAGGACAGUCUGGCGCUUCUGAUUUGCAGCCUUUUCACAGAUAUUCAGAUGAGUCUACAGCACUGGACUCAACAGCUGUGGAGCAGACGGCUGGGGGGGAUGUCACAUGUGACGGGGAUGUGAACGCAGACAAAUCAGCAGCAAAUAUCGGCAAACUCUGCAAGGCCGAGUCUCAGACUCUCAUGUCACUUAGACACACUGAUGGAGCAAUACAGGGCCCACCAGGAGGGCCCCGACCCCUCCACUAAGCUGCAGGACAAUGUCGCCAGCAAGGUGUAUCGCAUCAAGCGAUUUGUUGCGUACAUGGCCCAGGCAGGGGGCAAGCUCCAGACCCUGGACCUCCUCAAUGAUACGGAGAGGAU